rnacentral:rRNA from 1 species
GAUGAACGCUGGCGGCGUGCCUAAUACAUGCAAGUCGAGCGAACAGACGAGGAGCUUGCUCCUUUGACGUUAGCGGCGGACGGGUGAGUAACACGUGGGUAACCUACCUAUAAGACUGGGAUAACUUCGGGAAACCGGAGCUAAUACCGGAUAAUAUUUCGAACCGCAUGGUUCGAUAGUGAAAGAUGGCUUUGCUAUCACUUAUAGAUGGACCUGCGCCGUAUUAGCUAGUUGGUAAGGUAACGGCUUACCAAGGCAACGAUACGUAGCCGACCUGAGAGGGUGAUAGGCCACACUGGAACUGAGACACGGUCCAGACUCCUACGGGAGGCAGCAGUAGGGAAUCGUACGCAAUAGGCGAAAGCCUUACGGAGCAACGCCGCGUGAGUGAUGAAGGUCUUCGGAUCGUAAAACUCUGUUAUUAGGGAAGAACAAACGUGUAAGUAACUGUGCACGGCGUGACGGUACCUAAUCAGAAAGCCACGGCUAACUACGUG